CCAUCCAUAGCUUCUAGCAGCAUACAUAUAGACAGUGCAAAAAUAGCUAAUACAGGAAAAAACUCAUCAACUUUAUUCACUAUUCUUUCUAUAUAUAUAUUUGUCAAUCUCUCUAGCAGGGUGAAGAGACAGCGUGGUGAUGAGUUGACAGAAGAUAGAGAGCACAGAUGAUGAGGUACACCGUCCGGUGGCCGGAGCUGAGGAUGCAUGAAUGUGAUCGGAGAAUUGUUAGUAUAUAUAUUGUGUGUAUCUUCUUCUUUGUGCUCUCUACUCUUCUGUCAUCACCGCCGGAUUCUCUUCACUCCAUGUAUGUAGCACUUGCCCAUUUCCUACUUUCUGCUUUCUUUAAUUUGCGAUUUUAAUUGUUCAUAAUUUAUCAUCAUUUACUGCAUGUGACCGAGUGCAAUGCAUGGAUGAUGCAAAAUUAGCUGGUUUUUGUAGUAGAUAUAUAAUUACUUGCUUACAGAAAGUGAAACUCCCUCGCCUGAUCUACAGGGCCCCAUGACUCAGCAGGGCAGAGACCCAUUAAGUGAAAGGACUAGUACUGCGGUCUGCUGAGCGUUCAUAACCAACCUACCACAUUGGGUGAAAUUCUCACAUUGUCCCUACCGGGGCUUAGGUUUAUGUUCUUGUCUACACUCUACCACUCUAGAACGAACCAAUUGAAAUGUCGAUGUAGACAUCGGUGUGUAGUGUAGGUAGAGAAAGAAGGGGGCUGGCUGUAAUGGACAUGGUGGUUGACAGAAGAUAGAGAGCACAGAUGAUGAUGAAGGUGCAUAUAUACAAUGGAUGCUUAGCUUGGUUUCACCUCACUCCUUUGUGCUCUCUACUCUCCUGUCAUCAUCCUCAUUAUCAGCUAGCCCCUCUCUUAAUUAUUACACUUUAAUUCUCCAUUUUUUCAUUCUUUAUUUUCUAGUUUUUAGGUGUAUGUACAACAUAAACAUAUAUUUUUCUUUUCUUCAGUUUUCUAUUUCUCCCACUAAUAAAAUUAGCAUUAAGGUUUUUGAUACCCAUGACUUUUUAGACAAUUAAACAUAUUUUUCUUUUAAUUUUUUUCAAUUUUUUAUUUCUCCGACUAAUAAAAUUAGUUUUAGGAUUUUUGAUACCUUAUAACAAUUAAAUAGGAAGGAUCCUGAUGACCAGCCAGCCACUAAUUUAGAUGGACAAAUUAAAGAUAGGUUUAGGAUAAUAUCACGCUUUUGUUAUAAUGUGUCAAUUCAUAUAAGGAUGGGUGGCGAUGACACUUUUUAGAAUAGGACAAUAAUACUAAUUUUAAUUAUUUUCAUUAAUAUUUACAAAUGUGUUACUAUCCUUUAUAUAUUUAUAGCUGUUAGUGUUUUCACUAUUUGGUAGAAUUUUCUUAUACAUAAAUCCUUGCAUAUUCUUGUGUAUCUAUAUAUUCUUGCAUAUUUUGCAGUAUGUUAAGAAUGCCCCAAUCCUUAAACAUACAGAUUAAUUGGCUGCUAAAGGUGCACUAGAUAAUUUGUAAUCACUAAAAUAAUAAAUCCACUCUAUUUUUAUGUAAUAAUUAACAAAUUACACAAGAAAUUGAAGUCAUCCCAAUAUUUGUGUGUGUGCAGUCAUCCCAAUAUUUGUGUGUGCACACACUGUCACACCCAGCAUAGUAUGUGCAUUUCUCACCUGAACCCUUGUUCUGAGAUUAAGAAUUUAUAUAUAUCUUUUUUCUUAUCAAAUUUUGUUUUGUUUUGUUUUGUUUUUUUUUUUUCUUUUCUCUUUCGCAUCUCUACAUGACACUGAAGAAACCACCAAAAUUAUUUUAUUAUUGAAGUUACUCUUAUGCUACAAAUUUAAUUAAGAAAAUAUUAACAAUAAUCAAACCUAUAAUAUUUAAGUUGAGAAUUACGGAGUAUAUUUUACCAACUUGACUAAAGAUGUUGGGUGUUAAGGUGUUAGAUAGGGACAAUAAUGUUGUAUGUAGACACCUAACAAUUUCCACCGACCGGUACGAGGAGGAGUCGUCCACCUACCAGGCUACCACCAUUGGAAAUUUGUAUUUAAUUAUUAUGGUGGAGACUUCCAGUUCCAGGCAUGCUUGCCUCGACCGCGUUGACGUGUUUAGCCCGCAACCUUAACAUCUCCAUUCUCCAAUCUCCGCGAAUACAUUACACGCUACCGCACGUCGUUAUCCCUUUACUUAGUUCUUAAGUUCAAUCUUAUCCCUAUAUAUCCUCUUCAACGCUUUUGUCCUUGCCCAGAAAAAAUCCCAAGACAAAAUGGCACACCGCCCACACCACCACCCGCAUAGACACUCACCUCCGCCGCCGCCGGUAGUUCACGUCGUGCACCAUCCCCCGCCGCCGCCGGUAGUGCACCACCAUCCACCUCCGCCGGUAGUUCACGUGCACGAUCCGCCGCCGCCUCCGCCAGUAGUGCACCAUCAUCCCCCGCCGCCGGUUCACCAUCCGCAUCCACCGCAUCACCACCACCAUCACCACUAGAUACACUCCAGUCAUCUCUGAUCUGCAGAUCUGGUGCGUCCACGGUUGCGAGUAUUUCACUAUUUCCAGCUUGAAUAAUAUGUGUCGUGAAUCGUGAUGAAGUAAGCUAGCAGGUUCAGUUCCACGGCGAUGGAACAUAUACAUCUGUGUCUGUCUGUCUGUGUUUCGUAUGAAAUUAUAGUAUCUGGAUCUUUUGAUUUCGGUCGAAGUUCUAGGGUUCUACCACUGUACUAGAUAGUAUGAAACUACGUUUCAUUUCAUGUCGAUCGUGAUUCGUGGACGCAACCAUUAUGUAUUGACUAAAUAAAUAUCUUUUUACUUGUAUUUUAUAAGAA